UCAAGGUUCAGGUGUCUCCUGAGCUUUUGGAGCACUAUAAUUCCACAGAUCCUGAUGCUAAAACUCUAGCACAAACACUUAUUGCCCAGGCUGCUCUGGAAAAGUCACAAAUUGAAGUCCAUGGUUCACCAGAAAUGGGUGAUAAGCUUCCAGACAUUACAUCAAUAGACACUGCUGGGCCUAGUGCAUCUGGCACCCCC